AGCGAACGCUGGCGGCAGGCUUAACACAUGCAAGUCGAGCGGGCGUAGCAAUACGUCAGCGGCAGACGGGUGAGUAACGCGUGGGAACGUACCUUUUGGUUCGGAACAACCCAGGGAAACUUGGGCUAAUACCGGAUAAGCCCUUACGGGGAAAGAUUUAUCGCCGAAAGAUCGGCCCGCGUCUGAUUAGCUAGUUGGUGAGGUAACGGCUCACCAAGGCGACGAUCAGUAGCUGGUCNGAGAGGAUGAUCAGCCACAUUGGGACUGAGACACGGCCCAAACUCCUACGGGAGGCAGCAGUGGGGAAUAUUGGACAAUGGGCGCAAGCCUGAUCCAGCCAUGCCGCGUGAGUGAUGAAGGCCCUAGGGUUGUAAAGCUCUUUUGUGCGGGAAGAUAAUGACGGUACCGCAAGAAUAAGCCCCGGCUAACUUCGUGCCAGCAGCCGCGGUAAU
rnacentral:rRNA from 1 species